GACCCCGUGGAGCUUUACUGCAGCCUGUCGUUGUGGUACGAGUUGUAAUGUGCAGGGUAGACGGGAGCCAUCGAAACCUGGGCGCCAGCUCGGGUGGAGGCAACGAUGAAACACCGUCCUUUACGAUUCGUCCCGCUAAACCCCUUCGGGGGGACAUCGAUAGGUGGGCAGUUUGGGUGGGGCGCCACUCCCUCGAAAAAAUAACAAGGGAGCUCAAAGGUCAGCUUAGGUAGGUCAGAAAUCUACCGUAAAGUGCAAGGGCAAAAGCUGGCUUGACGUGGUUUGGCAUCACAACAAACCACGAUGCGAAAGCAGGACCUAGCGAACCAACCAGCCCCGUUAGUAGGGGCGGUUGAUAACAGAAAAGUUACCCCGGGGAUAACUGAGUUGUCUGGAGCAAGAGCCCAUAUCGACCUCCAGGCUUGCUACUUCGAUGUCGUCUCUCUCUAUCCUGGGUGUGCAGAAGCACCCAAGGGUGGGGUUGUUCGCCCAUUAAAAGGGAUCGUGAGAUGGGUUUAGUCCGUCGUGAGACAGGAUUGUUGCUAUGUGCUGGGACCGUUUUGUGCCUGAAGGGAAGGGCCCCUUAGUACGAGAGGAACGGGGGCUCGCAGCCACUAGUUUACCAGUUGUCCGACAGGGCAUUGCUGGGCAGCCACGCUGUAAGGGAUAAGAGCUGAAAGCAUCUAAGCUCGAAACCCGCCUCGAGACGAGGCACUUUGACGCCCGUAGAAGACGGGACGAUAGGACCGGGGUGUACGCACCGAGA
rnacentral:rRNA from 1 species